GACGUUGCUGUCAGUCUUACCCGAUGUUCCAGAACCGCAUCAUGGUUGUGAUGUUGUCGUUCAUUGUUGUUGUAUCUUGUCUCAGCUCUUCUACUGCAGCUUCAUGGUCCUGGUUCCAUUUUUGUUGUUCUUCCAGGAGUCUUCCAUGUUCUGCUUGCGUGUUCUGGAUGUCGAGGAGGGUGUUGUCGGUACGAGUGAAGAAAGCACCGGCCUCUUGAU
rnacentral:lncRNA from 1 species